rnacentral:tRNA from 1 species
AAAGAAAUAAAUAAAUUAAAGCUUCUAACUUUAAAAAGAGCAAAAAGUUCAUAUUUCUUUUUGAA